AUCACUUCUCAGCCUCUUGGCUAAGAUCAAGUCUAAUAUCUGUUCUCGUCACUUUAAUAUCUGAUAUGUCCUUUGUCCCCAGGCCGUUUUAGAGCUCCACUCAUU
ensembl:snRNA U2 U2 spliceosomal RNA